UGAUGACUGUUCCUCCUAUUGCUUAUAGGCUGGGCACUAGGAUUUUAUGUCAUCAUAAAAUUAAUUUGAUUUUCUUCACUCAGAGAAUAUUAGGAUAAUGGGAUUUAUUAUCUGUCUAUUCUCUGAAAUUUGCGGGAUCUAACACUU
rnacentral:snoRNA from 17 species